ACACGAGCGGCGGACGGCUGAGUAACACGUAGGAACGUACCCCAAAGUGAGGGAUAAGCACCAGAAAUGGUGUCUAAUACCGCAUGUGCUCUAAGGAGUAAAGCUCCGGCGCUUUGGGAACGGCCUGCGCAUGAUUAGCUAGAUGGUGAGGUAAUGGCUCACCAUGGCGACGAUCAUUAGCUGGUCUGAGAGGAUGAUCAGCCAGACUGGGACUGAGACACGGCCCAGACUCCUACGGGAGGCAGCAGUAGGGAAUUUUCCACAAUGGGCGAAAGCCUGAUGGAGCAACGCCGCGUGCAGGAUGAAUGCCUUCGGGUUGUAAACUGCUUUUAUAUGUGACGAAUAUGACGGUAGCAUAUGAAUAAGGAUCGGCUAACUCCGUGCCAGCAGCCGCGGUCAUACGGAGGAUCCAAGCGUUAUCCGGAAUUUCUGGGCGUAAAGAGUUGCGUAGGCGGCAUAGUAAGCAGAUAGUGAAAGCGUGUGGCUCAACCAUACUCACAUUAUCUGAACUGCUAAGCUAGAGGACGAGAGAGGUCACUGGAAUUCCUAGUGUAGGAGUGAAAUCCGUAGAUAUUAGGAGGAACACCAAUGGCGUAGGCAGGUGACUGGCUCGUUCCUGACGCUCAGGCACGAAAGCGUGGGGAGCAAACGGGAUUAGAUACCCCGGUAGUCCACGCCGUAAACGAUGGAUGCUAGCUGUUAGAGGUAUCGACCCCUCUAGUAGCGAAGCUAACGCGUUAAGCAUCCCGCCUGUGGAGUACGGUCGCAAGACUAAAACAUAAAGGAAUUGACGGGGA
rnacentral:rRNA from 1 species